UGUUGUUGAUGUGGGUGAAUAUUGGAUGACCCAAUUAGUCUCAGACAUGAAGACCAGGGCCCCAUGCUACGGCUCUGGCACAGAGUAAGGAAAGACCAGGGCCCCAUUCUACGGCUCUGGCACAGAGUAAGGAACGGUUAUGGGACUUGAAGACCAGGAGCUCAGAGGAAGCCCUGGGGUAAUGGUAAGUAAUGUAUGCUAUAACAGGAAGACCAGGGCCCCAUUCUACGGCUCUGGCACAGAGUUAACUGGGACUAAUUGGAGACAAGUUCACCCAACCCUUAUGUGAAUUGUCUGUGUUAUGAUGCAUUUCAUUAGAGCAUAGUUUUAAAUACGUUUUAUAGUUCUACUCACUGGGC
rnacentral:lncRNA from 1 species